CAAAAGAACUGACAAGCAUUGCUCAUUCACUGGUCUCAGUUUUUUGGAUAUACAGAAUGCAGAAAGGUUAAGUGAUUCGAAAUGAUGUAUUGGCGAUAAUAAUGGACCCUGGAGUCGGCACUGCUGACUGGAAAAGAACAGCUUUAGGAUCAGGUUCUUUUCAAUGAAAUCUGCUGAGGGCGCGCACACACAUGUAAGUAAUAGCCUGGAAGACAAGAGGUACUUUUGGUCAUUUUAGCGAUGCUUCUUCUCCUUUGGCAGAAAGAUACCAUGAACGUGUGUUGAGUCCUUAAAGAUCGGUGAGGAUAACUAUCUUGACGAAUUUGAAUGACUUUUAAACAUCAAAGUGUGUUUUUGGUUAAGACGAAUGCCAUUUGGUAUUUUAAUUGAGAUUCGGAGCAUCACAAACUCUCGCAGAAGGGCCUUACUACUUAGAAAGUAAACUACAAAGCAGAGAAAAAAGAUCAGGAACACAGAAGCUGCUUGUUUUUUUCAGUCACUUUGCAAUUAAUGCGUGACAAGUUAAUUAGUUCAGAUGUCAGUGACCAGCUUAAGGCAAUAAUGACCCAUGGCUCCCUUCAGUCAAAAGAAUCUCUCUAUCUAGGAUGAAGGAUGAUUUAAACAAUUAUAUGUAGCAGUUGAAACUUCGUCUUGCACAUUCUUUGUACCUGGGACUCCUUCAGAGGAAAACCUCUUAAAAAUUUGGACUUGUGAGCUUUCUUUGCUGGAUUUGCACCUCUCUGGAUGUUGGGCAAGAGAUUGUUAUUCUCACCCAUCAAGGACCGGUGUUAUUCCUCCCACUCUCAUUCAUGUAAUGAUAAUUUAUUAAGCAGCUACUAUGUGCAAGGUCUGGUUGUCAUGUGCUGGAGGUACAAAGGUCCUGCUCUAAUAGCUGGCACAAGGUGAGACAUCUCUGCCUUGAAUAGCAGGCUUCCCAGAGUGUGGUCUGUGGCCUCUCCUGGGGUCCUACCCCAGCUAGUGAGUCAGAAUCUCAGGGUGGGUUUAGGACUCUGCAUUCUCAUCAGGUGAUUCUCACGCACUGGUGCAGGUAGGGGUGAGGUGGUUAAGGGGGAGAGUAACAGCCAGCAUGCAAUGCAGUGCGUCCCUCGGAGAGAGCUUUCAAUUUAGCGUUAAUGUUUCUGGGAGGCUGCUCAGAAAGGGCUCACCUUGCCUGGCUUGAAGGAGCUUCCCCUGGAGGGGGCCGGCUGAGGGCUUCUAUACAGGCUUCACGGAAUGGUAUGAAUUCUGUCCUCCACCAUGUUUUAGUCCUGGACUGAGAGGCAGAUCCUGGGUUAGGUCAGCGGGGUGGUGGGGAGAAGGGCCGAGGGCUUGUAUCCCUAGAGUCUGUACUUUAUUCCCUGGAGUGUUCAAGGGGAGAAUAUAGCUGACAGCUAAUAUAUUGAGGAUUCAUUUAAGGAGAGAAAAAAAGUGCAGAGAUAAAGCCAUAUGAGCUAGUACAUACACAGAGUCUUGUUACACCUAGGUGCUUAGAGGCAUUAUAUAUAUAUAUAUUAAUCCAUUCAUCCCAACAACCUUAUGGGGUAACUUUGCACAUAAAGAAACAUCCUCCCUUUGCACAUGAAGAAACAGAAGUAAAGCCCCAACUCACCCAGCAGAGCCAGGAUUCCAACACAGAUAUGUGUGGGGCGGAAGGAACCAUGAGGAUGCGGGUUCGAUCCCUGGCCUCAUGCAGUGGGUUAAGAAUGUGGCGUUGCCGUGAGCUAUGGCGUAGGUUGCAGACAUGGCUUGGAUCCCGUGUGGCUGUGGCUGUGGUGUAGGCCGGCAGCUGUAGCUCUGAUUCGACCUCUAGCCUGAGAACUUCCAUAUGCUG
rnacentral:lncRNA from 1 species